rnacentral:lncRNA from 1 species
CUGUACGGCAAACUUUAUUCACUCAGGAUAGUAACAUCGUUUACAAUGCAAUCAAGGAUAAAACUAGGGGGCUCAUCGUCCCAUAUACAAUUUUGCUUUGUUUGCAUUGCUCUUCUUGCAAGUAAGUGAGCAGCUUGAUUCGCCUCACGAUAACAGUGCUCGAUACUUAUCUCCUGAAAACCAUUCCACACUAUAUUGCAUUCAUCAUAUAUAGGCGCAGCCGAGUUUGCCGUGAAUCCACCAUCCCUCAUGAUCUGGACCACCUCCAUACAGUCUGAUUGAACAAUCAACCGAUUGCAUCCGAUGUGCUGCGCUAGCAUCAACCCCUCCUUCAGUGCAUAAGCCUCUGCCAUCGGAGCAUCGAUUAAAUGGGGCAAAUAGCUAUGAGCAGCAGCUAAGAUGCCUCCGUUGCUAUCCCUUAUGAUCGAUCCCACACUGCCUCUUCCUCCAUCUUCAUCAAAGGCCGCAUCAACAUUCACCAUUACUUUUCCUUUAGUGGGUUUCUUCCAUCCCUGCCUCAGCUUUGACCCUUUCUUCAUUGCAUUUUGAUAAUUCUUUGUGAGCGCUGCGAUGGACAUAGCUGACCUUGCUGGAAGCUGGACCUCCUCCCCAUGCACGAUCUGUCUUCUCUCCCACCAAAGAUACCAGCCCGCAGUAAGCACCAAUUCCGCUAACCCCACGUUCAGAGUAUCGAUCAGCUCUUCUCUUCUAAUUAUUUCAUCAAUCACCACUGAGCCUGAACGAUCAAUGGUAAGAUAAUAUUGUAAUCUCUCCCUAACACCCAGAGCUUGCCAUACUUCCCGUGCUCGAUCACAGGUAAACAGCAGAUGUUUGAUGUCCUCCGCUCCAUUCUGACAAACCGGGCAUCCUCCCAACUGCCCAAUAU